UACGGAGGGAGCUAGCGUUGUUCGGAAUACUGGGCGUAAAGCGCACGUAGGCGGCUUUGUAAGUUAGAGGUGAAAGCCUGGGGCUCAACUCCAGAAUUGCCUUUAAGACUGCAUCGCUUGAAUCAUGGAGAGGCGAGUGGAAUCCGAGUGUAGAGGUGAAAUUCGUAGAUAUUCGGAAGAACACCAGCGGCGAAGGCGGCAUCCUGGACUGGUCCUGACACUCAUGAGCGAAAGCGUGGGGAGCGAGUCCGG
rnacentral:rRNA from 1 species